rnacentral:rRNA from 1 species
UUAACGAACGAGACCCCCGCCUGCUAAAUAGUGACGGGAAUGCUUCGCAUUGCCGGCUUGCUUCUUAGAGGGACUUUCGGUGACUAACCGAAGGAAGUUGGGGGCAAUAACAGGUCUGUGAUGCCCUUAGAUGUCCUGGGCUGCACGCGCGCUACACUGACCCAUGCAACGAGUCUACAACCUUGGCUGGAAGGCCUGGGUAAUCUGUGAACGUGGGUCGUGAUAGGGAUAGAUUAUUGCAAUUAUUAAUCUUGAACGAGGAAUUCCUAGUAAACGCAAGUCAUCAGCUUGCAUUGAUUACGUCCCUGCCCUUUGUACACACCGCCCGUCGCACCUACCGAUUGAAUGGUUCGGUGAGGUCUCAGGAUCGUGGCUUAGCACCUUCAUUGGAGCUCUGCCGUGAGAAUCUGCCCAAACCUCAUCAUUUAGAGGAAGGUGAAGU